CUGGGCACGCGGCUGCCUUGCUAGGAAGGCCGUAUUUCCAACUCCCUUGCAGUUCAAUGUGACUAUGUGGCUAAAUUCUGACCAACAGGACUUAAGCACGAGUGUUAUGUGCAAUGUCCAAACACAGCCUCUCAGGGAGCAGUUUGCCCUCUGUGGAAGGCAGGAUGCGAGCCCCCAAAGAUGUCCACAUGCUGCUCUCCAGAACCUGUGGACGUGUUACGUGGCGAGGAGGAUUGAGUCCACAGGUGGAGGUGCUAGCAGCUCCCGGAGAUGAGAUUAGCCCGGCCCGUGGUGCUGGGCCCAGUUAAAAUGGGAGCAGGAGGCCGACGGGCAUGCGAGUCAGAAAAGGCCGUGUGGGGAGGACGUGGGCUGCUGCUGCUGCUUCAGAGAAGGACAGCCCCUAAAAGCUGGAGAAUCCCAUGAAGGGUUCCCCUCAUGCCAAGCUUUCAGAAUGGAUGGAGCCAGGCCCUGAUUCCAGCCUGGUGAUACCCAUGUUGAAUUUCUGCAGAACUCAGCUGCACCAACAUUGUCCCCUUGGGAUUAGCUGUAAACUACUAGAAAAUGCACCUCAUCUACUUCCAGGGUUACUAAGCGAAUUCACGUGAAAGGCUUUGAGAGGGCAAGGUGCUGUCCGGCAGUGGAGAAUCUAAAUAUAUGAAGGCCAAAGCUUUGGCCGAGGAAUUUUCCAUCGUAAGUUCUGAGGCUUUCAGCCUUCGACAGAAGACACCAUCUCCUGUCUGCUCCUUGAUGUUUCCUGCCCACUUCCCUCUGCUGCUUCUCUCUCUGUAAGGCAGCAAGAAGAAAAAGCGAUUUUCUUUCUUCCCGCAACAUAAAGCAGUGUAGGCAGGACUUCCCUUCUCGACACCCGCUCAUCAAUGGCACCUCAUGCUUUUCACAUCCAUUCUGUGCUUUUUAACAGUGAAGUUCUAGGACUGGGCAAUAUUUGACACAGUUCCCCACACAUUGUGGUUUGCCUAACGGUAAACACCAAAGGCUAAGGAAGGGUGGCUGCAUUUAUCUCACAUUCACUAGGUGGCAACUAGUGAAGUAUGGGAUCCAUGCUGUACUACAGAGUCCGCCCCAGACAUCCCAACCUGGCCCUAGGAUGACAUCUCACCUUAGUAUGUUACUUCUUACAGCAAAGGCUUUGAUGAACUUAGCCUACAAACUAUUCCAUGUGUGCGUGUGUGUGUUGGGAACUUUGCAAUCUAUCAGCUAAACAUUUACCAGCUGAAGAUUUACCCCUGAUGGAAAAAUAUCUAAAAUGACAGAAAAGUUCUAAAUGCAGCUGGGAAGACUUUUAGAUAUGCAAGGAGUGGCAUUAGCUUCCACAUGUGAUUUUUCUUUGAUUUUUUUUUUCCCCUCUAACUCAGGAAAGAGGUCUAAGAAACACCAAAAUGCAAGAGAUCUGAAGGACUUCCUAGACCCAUCCCCUCAUUCUGUGAUGAUUACCGAGGUUAAGUUAGCCAGGGCCUCAGAGCUCCUUGGAGGAAAUGCCAAGGCGGAUAUGAAGGGAAGUCUGAUUCACUUGACAUGACAUUCCUUCCACUGCAGGCUUUCUUUCAAAACAGCUUUUAACUGGUCUUAGGCUCAACUAAAUGGGCCAUCAAAUAAAGCUACUGUUUCCUUAAAACAGAAAUGACCUGUGCUAUAAGUUGAAUGUUUUGAACAAAUAUUUUGAAUUAAGUUUUUAGGAAGUAAUUUUAUUUGAAAGAGGACCUAUGACAAACCAAAAACUAGUUAACCAAAUAGAAAUACUUUAUCUUUGAGAUGUUAUGGAACAAAAAUUCAUAAUCUUUUUGAGACUAGUAUACCUUUUUUUUUUUUUUUUUUUGUUCCGGGGAUGGAACUCUGGUCCUUGCGCUUGUGCAGCAGGCGACGAAACCACUGAGCUAAAUCCCCAGCUAGUAUACCUUUUGAGAGCUAAGCAAACAUAC
ensembl:lncRNA